AUCCAUCAGGCACUCUAUUUUAUUAGGAAAUCUCUGUUUGUAAAGGAGCUAACCCUUUGCCUUUCGUCUUCCUCACCCAUCGAACAAAAAAUCUCCUCCCUCUCCACUCUCUCAACCGCAAAAAUCUCUUAAAAUCCCUCUUCCCACCAGAUUUUUCCCUUCAAAUCAUCCUUUUUGGAACUUAAUCCCCUUUCUUUUUCUUCUUUGUUUGGGC
rnacentral:lncRNA from 1 species